UACGUAGGGCGCAAGCGUUGUCCGGAAUUAUUGGGCGUAAAGAGCUCGUAGGCGGUUUGUCGCGUCUGCUGUGAAAACCUAAGGCUCAACCUUGGGCUUGCAGUGGGUACGGGCAGACUAGAGUGCGGUAGGGGGUGACUGGAAUUCCUGGUGUAGCGGUGGAAUGCGCAGAUAUCAGGAGGAACACCGAUGGCGAAGGCAGGUCACUGGGCCGCAACUGACGCUGAG
rnacentral:rRNA from 1 species